rnacentral:rRNA from 1 species
ACAAAAAGUAAGAAAGGGCGCAUGGCGGAUGCCUUGGCUCUCGGAGGCGAUGAAGGACGUGAUAAGCUGCGAUAAGCUCCGGGUAGGUGCAAAUGACCUUUGAUCCGGAGAUUUCCGAAUGGGACAACCCAAUAUCUUGAAGAGAUAUUAUUCUGCAUAGCAGAAGGCUAACGCAGGGAACUGAAACAUCUUAGUACCUGCAGGAAAAGAAAAUAAACAAUGAUUCCCCUAGUAGUGGCGAGCGAACGGGGAAUAGCCCAAACCAGUCAUGUUACGGCAUGGCUGGGGUUGUAGGACCACGAUGUGGCAUGAAAACUGGUGAGUGGAACCCUCUGG